UACGGAGGGUGCAAGCGUUAUCCGGAUUCACUGGGUUUAAAGGGUGCGUAGGUGGCUUUGUAAGUCAGUGGUGAAAUGCCGCAGCUCAACUGCGGAACUGACAUUGAUACUGCUUAGCUUGAAUCACGUCGAGGUGGAUGGAAUAUUACAUGUAGCGGUGAAAUGCUUAGAUAUGUAAUAGAACACCGAUUGCGAAGGCAGUUCACUAGGCGUGUAUUGACACUGAGGCACGAAAGCGUGGGGAUCAAACAGG
rnacentral:rRNA from 1 species